rnacentral:rRNA from 1 species
CAGCCGCCGCGGUAAUACCAGCCCCGCGAGUGGUCGGGACGAUUAUUGGGCCUAAAGCGUCCGUAGCCGGGUUGGGAAGUCCUCCGGGAAAUCUGGCCGCUUAACGGUCAGAAUGCCGGAGGAUACUCCCAGCCUAGGGAGCGGGAGAGGCCGAGGGUAUUCCCGGAGUAGGGGUGAAAUCCUAUAAUCCCGGGAGGACCACCUGUGGCGAAGGCGCUCGGCUGGAACGCGUCCGACGGUGAGGGACGAAGGCCAGGGGAGCAAACCGGAUUAGAUACCCGGGUAGUCCUGGCUGUAAACGAUGCGGACUUUGUGUCGGACAAGCUAUGAGCUUGUCCGGUGCCGGAGGGAAACCGUUAAGUCCGCCGCCUGGGGAGUACGGCCGCAAGGCUGAAACUUAAGGAAUUGGCGGG